rnacentral:rRNA from 1 species
ACGGGAGGCAGCAGUGGGGAAUCUUAGACAAUGGGCGCAAGCCUGAUCCAGCCAUGCCGCGUGAGUGAUGAAGGCCCUAGGGUCGUAAAGCUCUUUCGCCAGGGAUGAUAAUGACAGUACCUGGUAAAGAAACCCCGGCUAACUCCGUGCCAGCAGCCGCGGUAAUA